GACGAACGCUGGCGGCGUGCCUAAUACAUGCAAGUUGAGCGCUGAAGGUUGGUACUUGUACCGACUGGAUGAGCAGCGAACGGGUGAGUAACGCGUGGGGAAUCUGCCUUUGAGCGGGGGACAACAUUUGGAAACGAAUGCUAAUACCGCAUAACAACUUUAAACACAAGUUUUAAGUUUGAAAGAUGCAAUUGCAUCACUCAAAGAUGAUCCUGCGUUGUAUUAGCUAGUUGGUGAGGUAAAGGCGCACCAAGGCGAUGAUACAUAGCCGACCUGAGAGGGUGAUCGGCCACAUUGGGACUGAGACACGGCCCAAACUCCUACGGGAGGCAGCAGUAGGGAAUCUUCGGCAAUGGACGAAAGUCUGACCGAGCAACGCCGCGUGAGUGAAGAAGGUUUUCGGAUCGUAAAACUCUGUUGGUAGAGAAGAACGUUGGUGAGAGUGGAAAGCUCGUCAAGUGACGGUAACUACCCAGAAAGGGACGGCUAACUACGUGCCAGCCGCCGCCGUAA
rnacentral:rRNA from 1 species